GUGGGGAAUCUUCCGCAAUGGACGAAAGUCUGACGGAGCAACGCCGCGUGAACGAUGACGGCCUUCGGGUUGUAAAGUUCUGUUAUACGGGACGAAUGGUACGACGGUCAAUACCCGUCGUAAGUGACGGUACCGUAAGAGAAAGCCACGGCUAACUACGUGCCAGCAGCCGCGGUAAUACGUAGGUGGCAAGCGUUGUCCGGAAUUAUUGGGCGGAAAGGGCGCGCAGGCGGCGUCGUAAGUCGGUCUUAAAAGUGCGGGGCUUAACCCCGUGAGGGGACCGAAACUGCGAUGCUAGAGUAUCGGAGAGGAAAGCGGAAUUCCUAGUGUAGCGGUGAAAUGCGUAGAUAUUAGGAGGAACACCAGUGGCGAAAGCGGCUUUCUGGACGACAACUGACGCUGAGGCGCGAAAGCCAGGGGAGCAAACGGGAUUAGAUACCCUUGUAGUCC
rnacentral:rRNA from 1 species